rnacentral:rRNA from 1 species
GACGAACGCUGGCGGCGUGCUUAACACAUGCAAGUCGAACGAUGAAACCUAGCUUGCUAGGUCGAUUAGCGGCGAACGGGUGAGUAACACGUGACUAACCUGCCCCUUUCUCUGGGAUAACGCUCCGAAAGGAGUGCUAGUACCGGAUACUCACAUCGAGGCACAUGCCUUGAUGUGGAAAGUUUUUCGGAAAGGGAUGGAGUCGCGGCCUAUCAGCUUGUUGGUGAGGUAACGGCUCACCAAGGCGACGACGGGUAGCCGGCCUGAGAGGGCGACCGGCCACACUGGGACUGAGACACAGCCCAGACUCCUACGGGAGGCAGCAGUGGGGAAUAUUGCACAAUGGGCGCAAGCCUGAUGCAGCGACGCCGCGUGAGGGAUGAAGGUCUUCGGAUUGUAAACCUCUUUCAGUAGGGACGAAGCGAAAGUGACGGUACCUAAAGAAGAAGCACCGGCUAACUACGUGCCCGCAGCCGCCGCGG